rnacentral:rRNA from 1 species
CCUACGGGAGGCAGCAGUGGGGAAUAUUGGACAAUGGGCGAAAGCCUGAUCCAGCCAUGCCGCGUGUGUGAAGAAGGUCUUCGGAUUGUAAAGCACUUUAAGUUGGGAGGAAGAGCAGUUACCUAAUACGUGAUUGUUUUGACGUUACCGACAGAAUAAGCACCGGCUAACUCUGUGCCAGCAGCCGCGGUAAU